rnacentral:rRNA from 1 species
AAAUUGAAGAGUUUGAUCAUGGCUCAGAUUGAACGCUGGCGGCAGGCUUAACACAUGCAAGUCGAACGGUAGCAGGGAGAAAGCUUGCUUUCUUUGCUGACGAGUGGCGGACGGGUGAGUAAUGCUUGGGGAUCUGGCUUAUGGAGGGGGAUAACGACGGGAAACUGUCGCUAAUACCGCGUAAUGUCUAAGGACUAGAGGGUGGGACUUUCGGGCCACCUGCCAUAAGAUGAGCCCAAGUGGGAUUAGGUAGUUGGUGGGGUAAAGGCCUACCAAGCCGACGAUCUCUAGCUGGUCUGAGAGGAUGACCAGCCACACUGGAACUGAGACACGGUCCAGACUCCUACGGGAGGCAGCAGUGGGGAAUAUUGCACAAUGGGGGGAACCCUGAUGCAGCCAUGCCGCGUG